AUUCAUCAUGAAAGUCAGAUGAAGAGUGAAAAUGAGAAGCUCAAAAGAGAACUGGAGCAACACAAACUCAAAGAAAGAGAGUGGGAACAAAAACUCAAGGAAGUGGAGGACAGAUUAAGACUGGAGACAGAUUUGAGGAGAAGAGAGAAGGAACUGGAGUCCAAAGAGAGAGGAACGACAAAAAAAGAGCAAGAAAUACAGACUACUGGAGAAGAACAUCAUCUACACCGCAACGUAGAGCUAACUUCUCCUGGCUUAUCUCAAGAACAACACAGAUCUCUAGAUGAAGGAGAAGGAGAGUUAAACAAAGCUGAAGAUUCACGUGACAGUGAAUCACUUGAGUUUGGAAAACCUGUGAGACGCAACAGUAACCCUUUCAAACCACCUAAUAUGACUGAAAGUGAACAUGGACCUCUAGACACACUCUGAAUGAACAGACUUCAACUGAAGAGCUUUCAGUUUCCAUUGAUAUCUCACUUCAUUUAAAAAAUAUUCAACAGAUGGAUCAAAAUGCGCCAGAGGUCAAAUAUAAAAAAUACAUGCACAGACCACAAUCUGGAGGAAACAACAACUGUGAAAAAAUGCUUAUUCAGAGAAAGAUGAAGAUGUCAUGCUGAGAUACUCCUCUAAAUCUUCCACAGCAUAUAUACAUUUGUAAACUUUUUGUCAUCUUUUUACAUUGUUGUAUAUGUAUUUAAUAAUAUUUAAAUCUGCUAUUUAUGUUUCCAUGUGUUGAAGAGUCGAGGAGAAGCUCCAUAAGUAUUAUAAAUGCAUCUGCUUUAUGAGUAAAUGUAAGAGGAAAAUAUGUGUUCCUCAGAUGAUUAAACAGACUUCCUCAAAAGAGUAGUUGAUGCAGUUGGCAACUACAAUGGGGGAAAAACAUGAUUCCCAACUGCAUUGAUUUUUUAAAUGCUGUCUUUUUACAGCAAUUAUAUCCAAAAAUAUCAAUGCUUAUGUUUAGCCUUUAUGUUGUACAAGUGCUACUAAAAUCAUUGAAAUGACAGGUAGGCCUAGAUUCUGAUAUAAUAUGUAAAUAUAUAGUUUUGUUUAAUUGCUGGCAAGACAAUCUAAAAAUACUGCAUAAUAAAGAAUAAGUAUUUAAUUCAAUACUCCCAUGAAUGCUGGUCCUGGAAGGUGAAAAACUAUGUAAUGCAAUGUCGCCACCUGCUGGAAAAUAUGCUGUAUUAAGUCUAAUGGUGUAAUAGCACCAUCUAGUGAAAACGAGUAGUAUUACACUCUGCAUAUUUAAAGGGAUAGUUCACCAAAAAAUGAAAGUUAUGUCAUCAUUUACUCACCUUCAUGUUACAAACCUGAGUUUCUUUUCCACUAAAGAACAAACAAAAAGAAAUUCAUUUUUGGAAAUAUUUUUUUUUGGCUUCAAUGUUCUUUAUUUUGUUUCACUUCAUGGCAUGAGGGUGAAGUUAAUGACAUAGAAGUUUCAUUUUUGAGUGAACUACCCCUUUAACAAAAACUUUUUUUUUUUUUAAAUAAAGGUACUUUUAUUACAAAAUAACGACAUGCAUUAAAAAAACGACACUUUCUUAUUUUCCUCUUCUGUUCUGCAGUUUCGCUUCUCUAGUUGUGCAAUAUUCUGGCUUGUUCUUCGAAUGUUUUAUGCCACUUAAUAUUGUUGGCUCCAUUAGGAUAAAUUACUUCUGUUUUUCUUCAUUUCCAAGACUGGUUAGUCUGGUAAACAAAUGAAUGUCAAAUCUCAUGUUCUUAUUUUUGAGUCUCCACAAUCUGUAUGUUUUGUUGUCUCUUAAAGUGUAUUUAUCCAAUGGUUUGUCUGUUCCUCAUCUGCAAUGAAAGCUCAUUUUCAUUAAAGCACCU